UACGGAGGGUGCAAGCGUUAUCCGGAUUCACUGGGUUUAAAGGGUGCGUAGGUGGGUCCGUAAGUCCGUGGUGAAAUCUCUAGGCUUAACCUGGAAACUGCCAUGGAUACUAUAGAUCUUGAAUACUGUGGAGGUCAGCGGAAUAUGUCAUGUAGCGGUGAAAUGCUUAGAUAUGACAUAGAACACCAAUUGCGAAGGCAGCUGGCUACACAAAUAUUGACACUGAGGCACGAAAGCGUGGGGAGCAAACAGG
rnacentral:rRNA from 1 species